CCUACGGGAGGCAGCAGUGGGGAAUAUUGCGCAAUGGGCGAAAGCCUGACGCAGCGACGCCGCGUGAGGGAUGAAGGUCUUCGGAUCGUAAACCUCUGUCAGCAGGGAAGAACGGUCACUGUGCUAAUCAGCAGUGAAUUGACGGUACCUGCAAAGGAAGCACCGGCUAACUCCGUGCCAGCAGCCGCGGUAAUACGGAGGGUGCGAGCGUUAAUCGGAAUUACUGGGCGUAAAGCGCUCGUAGGCGGUAUGUCAAGUCAAGGGUGAAAUCCCCGCGCUCAACGUGGGAACUGCCUUUGAAACUGGCAAACUGGAGGGGGUGAGAGGAUAGUGGAAUUCCAGGGGUAGGAGUGAAAUGCGUAGAUAUCUGGAGGAACAUCAGUGGCGAAGGCGACUAUCUGGCACAUAACUGACGCUGAGGAGCGAAAGCGUGGGUAGCAAACAGGAUUAGAUACCCCUGGUAGUC
rnacentral:rRNA from 1 species